rnacentral:tRNA from 1 species
GAGGGUGUAGCUCAGUGGUAGAGCACGUGCUUAGCAUGCCUGAGAUCCUGCGUUCAAUCCCCAGUGCCUCCA